rnacentral:tRNA from 1 species
GCCCGUGUAGCUCAGCGGCAGAGCAGCGCAUUCGUAAUGCGCGGGCCGACGGUUCGAGUCCGUCCAUGGGCU